GGAAUAGCUCAGUGGUAGAACAUCAGCCUUGCAAGCAGAAAGUCCCAGGUUCAAUCCCUGGCAACUCCA